GCCGCGUGAGUGAUGACGGCCUUCGGCUCUGUAAAGCUCUGUUGUUAGGGAAGAACAAGUGCCAUACUAACUGCUCGGACCUUGACCGUACCCUAACCAAAAGCCACCGCCAACUACCUGCCCGCAGCCGCGGUAAUACCUAAGUGGCAAGCGUUGUCCGGAAUUAUUGGGCGUAAAGGGCCCGCAAGCGGUUUCUUAAGUCCGAAGUGAAAGCCCCCGGCUCAACCGGGGAAGGGCAUUGGAAACUGGGAAACUU
rnacentral:rRNA from 1 species